CGGGGAAUAUUGGACAAUGGGCGAAAGCCUGAUCCAGCCAUGCCGCGUGAGUGAAGAAGGCCCUAGGGUUGUAAAGCUCUUUCAGUGGGGAAGAUAAUGACGGUACCCACAGAAGAAGCCCCGGCUAACUUCGUGCCAGCAGCCGCGGUAAUACGAAGGGGGCUAGCGUUGCUCGGAAUCACUGGGCGUAAAGCGCACGUAGGCGGAUCAUUAAGUCAGGGGUGAAAGCCUGGGGCUCAACUCCAGAACUGCCCUUGAUACUGAUGAUCUUGAGUCCGGAAGAGGUUGGUGGAACUCCGGGUGUAGAGGUGAAAUUCGUAGAUAUUCGGAAGAACACCAGUGGCGAAGGCGGCCAACUGGUCCGGUACUGACGCUGAGGUGCGAAAGCGUGGGGAGCAAACA
rnacentral:rRNA from 1 species